rnacentral:rRNA from 1 species
AGGACGAACGCUGGCGGCGUGCUUAACACAUGCAAGUCGAACGAGGUGCUUGCACCUAGUGGCGAACGGGUGAGUAACACGUGAGCAACCUGCCCUUGGCUCUGGGAUAGCCUCCGGAAACGGGGAUUAAUACCGGACAUGACCUUCUCCUGCAUGGGGGAGGGUGGAAAGUUUUUCGGCCAGGGAGGGGCUCGCGGCCUAUCAGCUUGUUGGGGGGUAACGGCCCACCAAGGCGACGACGGGUAGCCGGCCUGAGAGGGCGACCGGCCACACUGGGACUGAGACACGGCCCAGACUCCUACGGGAGGCAGCAGUGGGGAAUAUUGCACAAUGGGGGAAACCCUGAUGCAGCGACGCCGCGUGCGGGAUGAAGGCCUUCGGGUUGUAAACCGCUUUCAGCAGGGGCGAAUCAAGACGGUACCUGCAGAAGAAGCGCCGGCUAACUACGUGCCAGCAGCCGC